AUGGCCCACCAAGGCAUUGAUGGGUAGUUGGUCUGAGAGGACGACCAGCCACAUUGGGACUGAGAUACGGCCCAGACUCCUACGGGAGGCAGCAGUGGGGAAUCUUGGACAAUGGGGGAAACCCUGAUCCAGCGACACCGCGUGGGGGAUGAAGGCUUUCGGGUUGUAAACCCCUUUUCUGGGGGAAGAAUAAGGUUGGGAGGAAAUGCCCAUCCGAUGACGGUACUCCAGGAAUAAGCAUCGGCAAACUUCGUGCCAGCAGCCGCGGUAAGACGGAGGAUGCGAGCGUUAUCCGGAAUUACUGGGCGUAAAGGGCGUCUAGGCGGUUGGGUAAGUCACUUGUGAAAGCCCUCGGCUUAACCGAGGAAAGUCUCGUGAUACUGCCCAGCUUGGGUGUAGGAGAGGGGAGUGGAACUCACAGAGUAGCGGUGGAAUGCGUAGAUACUGUGAGGUACCCCGAUGGCGAAGGCAACUCCCUGGCCUACUACCGACGCUGAAGCGCGAAAGCGUGGGGAGCAAAGGGGAUUAGAUACCCCCGUAGUCCACGCCCCAAACGAUGUUCACUUGGUGUCGGCCGCAAAUAUAGGUCGGUGCCGGAGCUAACGCGUUAAGUGAACCGCCUGAGGAGUACGGCCGCAAGGCUAAAACUCAAGAGGAUUGACGGGUCCCCGCACAAGCGGUGGAGCACGUGUUUAAUUCGAUUUAAGCGAAGAACCUCACCCAGGCUUGACAUACUAGUGGUAGGAACCUGAAAGGGGGACGACCCUGCCUUCGGGUAGGGAGCUAGUACAGGUGAUGCAUGGCUGUCGUCAGCUCGUGUCGUGGGAUGUAGGGUUAAGUCCCGAAACGAGCGCAACCCUUGUCGUUAGUUGCCAGCGGGUAAUGCCGGGGACUCUAGCGAGACUGCUGGUGAAUAGCCGGAGGAAGGCGGGGAUGACGUCAAGUCAUCAUGUCCCUUAUGCCUGGGGCGACACACAUGCUACAAUGGGGGGUACAGAGGGUCGCAAUACCGUAAGGUGGAGCCAAUCUCAAAAAACCCUCCUCAGUUCGGAUUGAGGUCUGCAACUCGACCUCAUGAAGCCGGAAUCGCUAGUAAUCGUAGGUCAGCCAUACUACGGUGAAUAUGUACUCGGGGAUUGUACACACCGCCCGUCACACCAACCGAGUGGGGGGUACCUGAAGUCGUCUCCAUGAGGCGCCGAGGGUAACCUUCGCAAGAGGGGUGAAGUCGUAACAAGGUA
rnacentral:rRNA from 1 species